rnacentral:rRNA from 1 species
CCUACGGGGGGCUGCAGUGGGGAAUAUUGGACAAUGGGCGAAAGCCUGAUCCAGCCAUGCCGCGUGUGUGAAGAAGGCCUUCGGGUUGUAAAGCACUUUCAGUGGGGAAGAAAGCCUUGGGGCUACUACCCUCGAGGAAGGACAUCACCCACAGAAGAAGCACCGGCUAACUCCGUGCCAGCAGCCGCGGUAAUACGGAGGGUGCGAGCGUUAAUCGGAAUUACUGGGCGUAAAGCGCGCGUAGGCGGUCUGAUAAGCCGGUUGUGAAAGCCCCGGGCUCAACCUGGGAACGGCAUCCGGAACUGUCAGGCUAGAGUGAAGGAGAGGAAGGUAGAAUUCCCGGUGUAGCGGUGAAAUGCGUAGAGAUCGGGAGGAAUACCAGUGGAGAAGGCGGCCUUCUGGACUGACACUGACGCUGAGGUGCGAAAGCGUGGGUAGCAAACAGGAUUAGAUACCCCUGUAGUC